rnacentral:sRNA from 1 species
GAGUUAGCAAUUGAACGUGCUUAAGGAGAACAUCAGAAGCCACUCCUAAGUCGAUCUCGGGCCACCUGAUCGAGGCGAUAGCCUUU